rnacentral:tRNA from 1 species
UAGCUCACUCAGUCAGAGCGUGGUGCUGAUAACACCAAGGUCCUGGGUUCAAUCCCCAU